rnacentral:rRNA from 1 species
AUUGAAGCUGGAGCUUGCUCCGGCCGAUUUAGUGGCGGACGGGUGAGUAACGCGUGGGUAACCUGCCUCAUACAGGGGGAUAGCAGUUGGAAACGACUGGUAAAACCGCAUAAGCGCACGGUGUCGCAUGACACAGUGUGAAAAACUCCGGUGGUGUGAGAUGGACCCGCGUCUGAUUAGCCAGUUGGCGGGGUAACGGCCCACCAAAGCGACGAUCAGUAGCCGGCCUGAGAGGGUGAACGGCCACAUUGGGACUGAGACACGGCCCAAACUCC